AAAAAGAAGAUGGGGAAAGUGUUGGUGGUUGACCCUGGAGGAAUUCAAGCAGAGCAUGAUUUUUGCUGCAUGGAGAAGGAAGUUUGGUUUGGAUUUACAAGUCUCAGGAGAAAGGUAAAUGCCUUUUCCUGGGCCUCUGUUGAAGCAGCCAGGUGCCACUUCCUGGAGCUGUUGCUGGUCCCUAACAUAGCGACAGAGAGCAUCAGGAUACAGGACACCAAAGGACCUCACUGUUCCAGAGGAUGCAGCAGGAAAUAAGUCAAACCCAUGAAGAAGAGAAUAAUGAGACAAUGCAUGCAGAGCACUGGCCAGAAGCCUCGCCUUAGAGGAAGCACUCACGGAGAAUUUGCCCUGUAUGUUUAUUGGUGAUUAUGACUAAUUCCUGUCAAUGACGCAGGGGAGACCCAACACUGUAUACAAAUGGACACACCUA